GCGAGGGUUGAGAUAAGUUAAAGUUAGUGGAGGCGGGAGUGAGUCUGGUCUCUGAGUUACUUGUUAUUUUCUUCAUUAAAUUAGGGCUUUCACAGAAGAGUCCACAGAAGAUGUCCACUUCAGGUGGGAAAAUGCAACCUACAAUUUCAAAAUUUUUUGCAUCUGUUAAAAAAGAUGGAAAGGCCAAAUUUGAUACUGAUGAAGAAAAGAAACAAAAUCAUACCAGCAAAGUAGCUGAGGUUAGCAUAUCUCCAGCUAUUAAGCGAGCGAAGACCCAUACCUACAUAAAUGGAUCAUCUAAAAAAGCCAAAAAAGAAAAUAGUGAUAGUGGACUUUGCAGCUCACCAGAGGCAGAGGGCAGUACAGCUCCCAAGAAAAAAUCUCCCACAUCAUGGACCAAAAACAGACUUCAGUCUUUUUCGUGUGGUAUGUUUAUAUUGUG